rnacentral:lncRNA from 1 species
CAUCUGUGAAAGCGGGGAUCCUCCAAGCCAGGGCUAGGGUGUGAUUUAUUCUGCAGUUGACUCCACAGGCUGCAGGCCUGUAGAUGCGAGACUUUAUGGUGCUGUGUGGCCUCAGGAGCUCACCAGACCAGACCCUCUGGGCCUCAGGCCACUCUGAGGCAGCAGUAGCGUGCAGGGUUGGUGGCAGCUGCACGGUGGUGGCGGUGAUGGUGAGAGGUCUGGGGCAGGGGCUG